GGGAACUCCGCGGGAAACCGGACCGGAACUCAAGUGUGCAGAGCUCUGCUUCGCUAGGAAUUCUUCUUCUCCAAAUGACCUCCCUUUAAUGAGUGGGGGAUGCCCUCUAUUUAUAGGGGUUCUUAUGGGGUCAAUCUGGUCAUUUGGGCAGUAACCGCCUAACUGCCUAACUGAUCAGAUUGGGUCCAGGGGUCGACUUUCCAGAGAUCGACUUUCUGGGGGUCGACUUUUACUGGUGAUCGACUUUACUCAAAAGUC
rnacentral:lncRNA from 1 species